rnacentral:rRNA from 1 species
GCAACGAUGAAGAACGCAGCGAAAUGCGAUACGUAGUGUGAAUUGCAGAAUUCCGCGAAUCAUCGAGUCUUUGAACGCAAGUUGCGCCCGAGGCUCGUCCGAGGGCAUUUCCGCUAGAGCGUC